AGAACAAUAAUAUUUAAAUAUCUCACAGAGCCUGCUGGACAUCAAAUAAAAUCUCGAGUAUAUAUAUUAAUCGUCAUUUCCACCAGCCACGCGCCAAAUGAACCGUUAUCAUGAACAAGGUCAUCUGUCCUCGCUGGUCAAUUAAGAGUCAGCAGAUAAUUCACCGUUUCACAAGCUGAUGGAAUGGACAUCUACGUUAUGGAAAUGGCGAGAAAUGAACGCGAGUCUCUUUGACAGAGAAGCUAGGUCUUUUUUAAAGUUGUUUGUCCGACGACACUUGUUUAUACGCUGCAGUGUCUCGAGGUGAAGGAUGUCACGCGCAUCUCUCGCGCUUCAAACAGACAAGCGUCGCGGCCCACCUCAUAUGGUUCAGUCUUGACCCGGCACCAGUCCAGCAGCAUCUGUUUGACAUCUUUGGUAUUUGGGCCCCCGACCGCCGAGCUGCCCGGUACUUUAACCCUGGCCACAUGGGACUGAGCCGGGCUUUAGGAGGAAAACAGCACAAUCAAUCAACGGGAUACAUCCCAUGCUGUCGUCCUGUCAGGACUCUAGGAAUGACUCACCUGCCCACAGUUUUUGGAGAGGAAGUAGAGUGGGAAAGACAGGAGCGGAAGACAGAUGGAGAAGAACAGUGUCAAUGGUGACUUUUCUCUAACAGAUGGAGUGCUGAAGAUGAGUAAUGCCUCACCACGUGGGAGGACUCGAACCAUACAAUUCACUUAAAAAUGAAAAUUCUGUCCACAUUUAAUCACCCUCAUGUUGCUGCCAACUCAUUUGACUUUUUGUUUCCUUCGGUCAAAUCUGAUGUAACACAUCAAAUGGUUUUAUUUGAGCACCAUAAUAAAGAUUUAUUAAAUAAUGCUUUCAAUUUCAACAAGUUUCUCAAAUUUAUCAUACAGCUUCAAAAGACUUAUAGCACUAAAACUAAACAAUUACAUUUUUUAGUUUUCAUUAAUUGAAAUAAAGCAAUUCAAUUAUAAUAAAUUAAAAAUAGAAAUGUUGCCCUGGCGACUAACUGAAAUAAAAUAAUUUUAAGUUGAAAUACUAAAACUACUAAAAUUAAAACUGAAAUAAAAAUAAAUAGAAAAGCUAAAUAGAAAUAUUUAAAAAAGACAAAAGCACAUAAUAAAAUGAAUGAAACAUAAAAUAUAAAAUAAAAGCUAAUUAAAAAUAUAAAAUAAUAAAAUAACUCUUUACAGAGCAUGAGCCUUUUUUAUCACUUUAAUGAUACCUUUAUGUUUUUAUUUCAUUUUGGAGUACCCUAUUCUCUUUUAUUAAAUAGAAAAAAAUAAUAACCAGGAUAUUCUUUAAAAAUUCUACUAUUGUGUCAUACAUUUAGAAGGAUGUGUAAUAUGAAAUGUUAUGUGUAAUAUAAACACAUAACAAACAGAGAAAAACAAGAGAAAAGAG